AUGUUCGAGUAUCUAAAUGUUGUCAGCAAGAUGUUUGAUAGUGAGGCUGAAGGCUAUGAAUUCUACAACAAAUAUGCUCUUGAAAAAGGUUUUAGUGUGAGGAAAAGCUACGUUGAGUGGGAUGGAUCCAACAAAUACAUAAUUUUAAGGAAAAUUGUGUGUAGUCGUCAAGGGCUCUUUUUUGACAUGGGUUGCGUAAUAUUUGGACAGGGACGACCGGAUGAGGGUGGGAGGUGGGCGCGAGGAGGCUAUUUCUCAGGGAAUGAGGAGGAGCAUGGCGUGUGGGAAGUGGGAGAUUAA
rnacentral:rRNA from 1 species